AGACAUUAUGCUCCGUACUGAGGAUUCCAAUAUUAAUUGCUCAUGACCUCCUCCUUUGAGCAGCAUGUAAUCUAGACAGAGAGACGGCUUCAUUAAAAAAAAAAAGAAAAAAAAUCUCUAACAUAAUGGGGCAAAUACAAGGGGAACUCAAAGAGAGGAGGAACUAUCUCAGCCUGAGUAAGAAGAAGAUGCUGUAUUAGAGAAGGCUGUGUUUGAAUGGAGUGUUGAAAGGUGACUGGAGGGUUAGCAGGAGAAAGAAAUGUAAGCAUAGAGGUGCACCUAUCCAGAGAGAAGAUUCAUGUUGAGCCUCAUGAAGGCUUGAAGUCUGUUUGGUUUUGAUAAAGUUGUAAUUUGAGUUCAGUUCAUGCAAAAAUAAAGGAAUAAAACCAUUUCUAUGAAAAAU